GAUGAACGCUGGCGGCGUGCCUAAUACAUGCAAGUCGAGCGAGCAGACGAGGAGCUUGCUCCUCUGACGUUAGCGGCGGACGGGUGAGUAACACGUGGAUAACCUACCUAUAAGACUGGGAUAACUUCGGGAAACCGGAGCUAAUACCGGAUAAUAUAUUGAACCGCAUGGUUCAAUAGUGAAAGACGGUUUUGCUGUCACUUAUAGAUGGAUCCGCGCCGCAUUAGCUAGUUGGUAAGGUAACGGCUUACCAAGGCAACGAUGCGUAGCCGACCUGAGAGGGUGAUCGGCCACACUGGAGCUGAGACACGGUCCAGACUCCUACGGGAGGCAGCAGUAGGGAAUCUUCCGCAAUGGGCGAAAGCCUGACGGAGCAACGCCGCGUGAGUGAUGAAGGUCUUCGGAUCGUAAAACUCUGUUAUUAGGGAAGAACAAAUGUGUAAGUAACUAUGCACGUCUUGACGGUACCUAAUCAGAAAGCCACGGCUAACUACGUG
rnacentral:rRNA from 1 species